CGGAGGGUGCAAGCGUUGUCCGGAUUUAUGGGUUUAAAGGGUGCGUAGGCGGCUUUUUAAGUCAGUGGUGAAAGACAACAGCUCAACUGUUGCAGUGCCAUUGAUACUGAAGAGCUUGAGUACAGAUGAGGUAGGCGGAAUUUAUGGUGUAGCGGUGAAAUGCAUAGAUACCAUAAAGAACACCUAUUGCGAAGGCAGCUUACUAAGCUGUAACUGACGCUGAGGCACGAAAGUGUGGGGAUCAAACAGGAUUAGAUACCCUGGUAGUCCACACUGUAAACGAUGAUCACUCGAUGUGUGCGAUAGACAGUACGCGUCCAAGCGAAAGCGUUAAGUGAUCCACCUGGGGAGUACGCUCGCAAGAGUG
rnacentral:rRNA from 1 species